UACGAAGGGUGCUAGCGUUGUUCGGAAUCACUGGGCGUAAAGCGCGCGUAGGCGGCUUUCCAAGUCAGGGGUGAAAUCCUGGGGCUUAACCCCAGAAUUGCCUUUGAAACUGGAAAGCUAGAGUGUCGGAGGGGAUAGCGGAAUUCCUAAUGUAGAGGUGAAAUUCGUAGAUAUUAGGAGGAACACCGGUGGCGAAGGCGGCUAUCUGGACGACAACUGACGCUUAGGCGCGAAAGUGCGGGGAUCAAACAGG
rnacentral:rRNA from 1 species